GACGAACGCUGGCGGCGUGCUUAACACAUGCAAGUCGAACGGAAAGGCCCUGCUUUUGUGGGGUGCUCGAGUGGCGAACGGGUGAGUAACACGUGAGUAACCUGCCCUUGACUUUGGGAUAACUUCAGGAAACUGGGGCUAAUACCGGAUAGGAGCUCCUGCUGCAUGGUGGGGGUUGGAAAGUUUCGGCGGUUGGGGAUGGACUCGCGGCUUGUCAGCUUGUUGGUGGGGUAGUGGCUUACCAAGGCUUUGACGGGUAGCCGGCCUGAGAGGGUGACCGGCCACAUUGGGACUGAGAUACGGCCCAGACUCCUACGGGAGGCAGCAGUGGGGAAUAUUGCACAAUGGGCGGAAGCCUGAUGCAGCAACGCCGCGUGCGGGAUGACGGCCUUCGGGUGGUAAACCGCUUUCGCCUGUGACGAAGCGUGAGUGACGGUAAUGGGUAAAGAAGCACCGGCUAACUACGU
rnacentral:rRNA from 1 species